UUUUAUUUGUGCGUAUUUAUCCAUCUUCUGUUUGCAUUUUUGUUUUGGAAUUUUUUAUUUAUGGAUUUUCAGAGAUUAGAGAUGGUUUCCAACAAAUGCACAACCCUUAUCAAGUAAGGGGUUUUUGGAGAUUGGAGAUGGUGGGCUAGAGAUGCAGCGGUAAGGGUUUCGAAUUUGCGGCUGGAGGUGGGUUUGGAGCUUGCAACUAGAGGAAGGUUACCACACAUUUUUUGGGGGAUUCUGGAACUACUUUAGCCUGGGAAUGGACGCUCAUGUAUCUUAUGCAUUUCACUCGGAACGAAAGUUGCAUCCUGAAAAAUUCAAAAAUCAAAUAGUUAAUCAGGGGGAUUUAUCUGGUAACUUGCUAUAUGGAGAUAUUCCGUUCUCGACAUCUAGGCUCAAACAGCUUGCUAUAUGGAGAUAUUCCGGUAUCUUGCUAUGUAGGACCUUGAAAUGAAACCCACAUUUGUUCCUAAGUCUGUCAAGGCUAUUGCCAUGUUAUUCUUGGCAAUCUCAAAAUUUGGAAACACCGUCAAACUCGUGACACAGUAGAACAUCCAUCACUAAAGAUAAAUAUCAAUCAAAAUGUUUAUAGUUGUCUUUUU